UCAAUGGAGACGCAUCCCUCGACAUCCCGCCUGAUACCAUAACGACCAUCUGUUGUUGUUCUACCUGGAACUUGAAGGAGAAUUCAUUCUAUUCACUCUCUUCGUCUCGUGCAGGACACGUGCUGGGUGCGCACCGGACCAAAAAUGGACCGCAGAACGUGUCCGGUGGCGCGUCCGCCUCGGUGCCGUGCCAGUGCGUCCGGGACGGAGCGAUACACAGACUGACCGGGAGGCGGACUGAACCGGACCUGCGCCGCCCGGGAGCUCCGUGGCUUUCCUGCACCUCUGUUCAGAAGAAACGUCAGGAGCAGAAUCAUUCCUCACGCAGGAGAGAGGGCAUGGACAUACUGUAGCCAGCGCUGGAAGACGAGGAGGAGGAGGAGGAUGGGGCUGUAAAAAGAGGCACAUCACCAGCUGCAGGAGGAGGCAGGAGGACACAGGAGGACGUCUUCACGGUAACAGUCGGAGAAACUGUGUUGUGAACAAGGCUCACGGAUGCAACGAGAGACCAGAGCAGCUCAUCCAGAGGGGCUCGUUCCACACGAAGGACAAAUCAGCUUUCGGCAAGGGCAGAUGGAUGAAGCUGAUCCCUCGCUCCGGAGGUGUGGAGUGACAGAUGACAGAGGGAUUGAUACAGCGGGGGAGAGCGAGAGCGGCAGCGCCGGGGAGGGUCACCGCCGCCGGUAACGGAAAACAGAAGCAAAGGUCAGGCGCAUCGAUCGGGAGUCGAGGAGGAAACAACCUGACUCUGACCUGAACGACCAGAAAGCAACUUUCUACAGCUGGGAUACAACCAAGCGAACCAGCGAGAUCUGCGUCCGACUUCAGACACUGAAGGAUGAACCCGACACCAGCCAUGGAAAUGAACGAGUCCGUUUUCAGCUCUAACUUGGGAACUCUUACGCUCUCGGAUCCAUCGUGUGGAGAAUGUAACUGAACAUUGAGAAACGACGCCGGACAGAAGUCGUCAGCCAAUGAUUUGUUGGCAAGAAAUGGCCGAUUCAACCCCAAGCAAACAAUUUGAGUUUGCAGCUAGCGAGCCUUUACGUGAAAGGAACUCCAGAACACUUUUCUGAAAUCCUCCCCCUGUUU